ensembl:lincRNA
AGCCCCGCCCCGUCUGGUCCCGCCCCCACGGCCCCUCCCCCUCCCCACAGGCGAGGCGCCACCCGCCCUCCCUCACCUCGGAGAACAGCGCGGCUAGGUGCUCCAGGGGCGCGGCGGGCAGGUCCCCGCAGAGCACUGCCCCGCGGAGGCUGGUGGGCUCUGGAGGCUCGGGCCUCCUGCGCAGGAAAAAAAGCCCCUUUGCGCGAGCUGGGCCGGACUCAGGUCCCGGGUCCAUCCCCUGUCGCAUCGCCAGGCCUCCGGGGCCGGGCCGCACUACCAGCAAGGGCCUGGGCCCCUCUGCAGCACCUCGGCCCAGGAAGGCCUGGAGCAGAUGCUCAGCCUCGGGUGUCCCCGUGCAGCGCUCCCAAGCACCCGCCGCCGGCCGCAGGCUCUGAGCCACGUAGGCCCCCAGGAGACGCAGCAGUCUCGGGUCGGCGCUGGAGUCCUCGUCCGCGUUCUCCGCAGCGAGCAGGGCCAGAUCCUCCGCGCACGGCAUCGUGCGCGGCCUCCGGCUGCAUUGGUUUCCCUAGCGACGGGGACGCGGCCAGGACUUCCCUCCUCUGCUUUCUUCCUAUUGGGCCAAGGACUCUUGACCCCGCCCCUUCCAGGCAAAUAAGCUGUAUCUCGAAAGGGAAGUCUGUCACACUGCAGGCACCAUGGAGCCCAGGCCAAGGCAGCCGGAGGUGCACUCCUGCCAUACUCUCAAGCAGAUGUGAGACAUCAAGAACGCCCUGCCCAGAGGUAGUUUCUGCACUUCUUCACUCCUGGCUCCUUCAUCUUCUCCCUGGUGGUACAGCAGUGAGGCCAGGUUUGAUUUUGUUGGAGUAGCAAACUCCUGCCACCCCUUAACCUUAGAGACUCCAGAUAACAGAAAUUUGUUUCUUGUUCAUGUGACAUGUCUGCCAUGGAUUAGCUGAAGAUGGAAUGGAAGGGUUUGCUCAUCUUAGUCACCCGGGAGCUCAAGCUCUGCUGGUGCCAUGCCAGGGGUCUCUAAAAGGGUCUUGCUGUGAAAUGCUUGGGCCUGGAAGGCAGACUCUUAAUUCCUACUCACAGUGCAUGAGUCAUAGUUACUCCCAUGGUCUCCUCCAAUUACAAGAAGGCCAGAAAGUGCAGUCCUUCAACGGGUCCAGAGAAGGAAGAACUAGAAAACCUUGACAAAUAGCACUAACAACUAAGGUAAACAGAAAGAAUAAGGCUUUACAUGAAAGAGAGUAAAAUGGAGUCUUUUAUAGGUAAGUGGAUGCAACUCAAGAACAUAUUUGUAAAUGAAAUAAAUCAGACCCAUAUGUGUAAACAUAUUGUCUCACUAGUGUGAAAAAACAAACAAGUAAAUAAGAUCUGAAAUGUACAAUAGAUAUUGUGAAUUGGGAAGAAACUGUUCAAAAGAAAAGACAAACUGUGAUGGGGAAAGGGGAAAUGAAGAAAGGCAAAAAGAAGAAAAUCUAUGUAUAUACAAGAUAGUUAAGGUUGUUACACAGCUAGUUUCUCUUUGUUCAUUAAAAACAAAGUUUUGUGCUAAUAUUGUAUAGACAAGAUAUCUUGCCUACAUCGUCUACCCUGAAUAGCUACUAGGAAGACAACGAUACACAGUGUAUCAACUAUUGUAGCUGUCCUAAUAGCCUGUUUUGAAACUUCAUUUCAUUGUUUAUCUUUUUUUAAAGGAAGGAACAGCUGGAAGGGGGGAAAGGGGAAAAGAAGGAGGAUAUAUAUACAUAUAUAGUAGCUGGGAUAAUUGUACUACUGAUUUCUAUUGGUUUGUUGAAAGGUGCAGUGAAUGCUUAAUUGUUUUAUUGAUUUUGUAUGCCUAUGUCUGGUGAUCUGAACAACUACUUUGAAGAUAACAAUAUAUACUAUAACAACUAUUGUUAAUUACCUGUCACCCUAUUUUGAAAUUCUGUAUCUUUUUUAUUGUUUUUGUUCUUUCAUUUUUGACUUUGUGUUUAUUUUUUGUGUUUUUUUCUUCUUUAAAAUAAAAAAAAAGAAAGGCUUUAUGGUCAAGAAACCCUGAAUUAUAUAAUCUUACCUCUACCCUCUCUAGCUGUGUGGCACUGAGCAAUUAUUUGGAUCUGUGACCCUCAGUCUUUUCAUCUGAGCAGUAAGGAAACAGCACCUUCCCUGGAGCAGCUUCUAGUGUUUAGCACAAAAGGUACUGUGGCAAACAUUAGUUCUCCUCCAUCCUUUUCCUAUGAAAUAUUUUAUUAUAAGUAACUGUCUUCAUGGGCAUGAUUUAAUGGUCCUUCCAACAUAAAGGCUAAAUACAGAUAACAAGUUCAUUGGGCUCCUUCCCCCAACUCCUGUGAGGGCU